rnacentral:rRNA from 1 species
AUUGAACGCUGGCGGCAUGCCUUACACAUGCAAGUCGAACGGUAACGGGCCUGCGGGUGCCGACGAGUGGCGAACGGGUGAGUAAUGUAUCGGAACGUACCUUUCAGUGGGGGAUAACGUAGCGAAAGUUACGCUAAUACCGCAUAUUCUGUGAGCAGGAAAGCAGGGGAUCGCAAGACCUUGCGCUGAUUGAGCGGCCGAUAUCAGAUUAGCUAGUUGGUGAGGUAAAGGCUCACCAAGGCGACGAUCUGUAGCGGGUCUGAGAGGAUGAUCCGCAAGACUGGAACUGAGACACGGUCCAGACUCCUACGGGAGGCAGCAGUGGGGAAUUUUGGACAAUGGGGGCAACCCUGAUCCAGCCAUGCCGCGUGAGUGAAGAAGGCCUUCGGGUUGUAAAGCUCUUUCGGCCGGGAAGAAAUCGUAUGGGUUAAUACCCUGUGCGGAUGACGGUACCGGCAUAAGAAGCACCGGCUAACUACGUGCCAGCCGCCGCGGUAACAC